UACAGAGGUCCCAAGCGUUGUUCGGAUUCACUGGGCGUAAAGGGUGCGUAGGUGGCCGGGUAAGUCUGACGUGAAAUCUCCGAGCCUAACUCGGAAACUGCAUCGGAUACUAUCCGGCUUGAGGGUUGGAGGGGGGACUGGAAUUCCUGGUGUAGCGGUGGAAUGCGCAGAUAUCAGGAGGAACACCGGUGGCGAAGGCGGGAUCCUGGGCCAGUACUGACGCUGAGGAGCGAAAGCGUGGGGAGCAAACAGG
rnacentral:rRNA from 1 species